rnacentral:rRNA from 1 species
AUGGAGCCGACCUUGAAAUACCACCCUUUAAUGUUUGAUGUUCUAACGUUGACCCGUAAUCCGGGUUGCGGACAGUGUCUGGUGGGUAGUUUGACUGGGGCGGUCUCCUCCUAAAGAGUAACGGAGGAGCACGAAGGUUGGCUAAUCCUGGUCGGACAUCAGGAGGUUAGUGCAAUGGCAUAAGCCAGCUUGACUGCGAGCGUGACGGCGCGAGCAGGUGCGAAAGCAGGUCAUAGUGAUCCGGUGGUUCUGAAUGGAAGGGCCAUCGCUCAACGGAUAAAAGGUACUCCGGGGAUAACAGGCUGAUACCGCCCAAGAGUUCAUAUCGACGGCGGUGUUUGGCACCUCGAUGUCGGCUCAUCACAUCCUGGGGCUGAAGUAGGUCCCAAGGGUAUGGCUGUUCGCCAUUUAAAGUGGUACGCGAGCUGGGUUUAGAACGUCGUGAGACAGUUCGGUCCCUAUCUGCCGUGGGCGCUGGAGAACUGAGGGGGGCUGCUCCUAGUACGAGAGGACCGGA